rnacentral:lncRNA from 10 species
UAAGUAUUGUGUCCUCAGCAAUUAAAAUCAUGUGUACCACUAUAAAGUACCAACUUCAAUUCCAAGUGGAGCAUUUCACAUUGAGAAAGACCCCAACAGAAGUUAGAGUCUCAGCAUCAAGGAUUUUCCCAUGGUGAUUGGAAUAUACAUGGAAGUGAUAUUCAGUAAUUUAAUGACAGCAGAUCCAAACAUAUAAGCCAACUGGCCAAAAUCUCUGAAACAAUAUUGAAAAAUAUGGUGAGUCUUGUUCUUAAUUUUAAGAAGAAUGCUUUGAAGAUUUCAUGACUGUCAUGCUAGCUCUAAGUUUUUGGAAGAUGUCUUUUAUCCGUUUAAGAAAAUCCCCUUCUACCAAUAAGCUACUAAGAUUUUUCCUUUUAUCACAAAUGAUUUUUCACUUUAUUUAAUAACUUUCCCAAAUUUUUAAAGAUGAUUAUGAGUUUUUACUUCUUUCUCUUUAUAUGUAAGUUACAUUAAUAGAUGUUGAACUGUCCUUUCAUUCCUGGACAAAUGCCCCUUCAUUCCUGAACAAAGGCUAAUUUGUUCACAAACGUGUUAUUUAUUAAUGCAUUAUUAUAUUUAAUUUGCUAAUAUAUUGUUGAGGAUUGUUAUCUCUCUAUGUUUAUAAGUGUGUUUGGCCUGCAAAUUUUCUAUCUUAUACUGUCUUUUUCUGGUUUUGGUGUCGUGGUUAUGCAAUUUUCAUAAAGAGCUUUAAGAAGUAUGCCAUUUUUUCUCUUUUUUGAAAGUUUUGUUAAGUAUGUUCUUUGAAUGCUUGUCAGAAUUUGUCCGUAACAACUUUUGAUCAUUCAUAUUUGCAAUUCUUAUGUAUUUAAGUUUGGUAACUUACUAUUUUUUUUCUUGGAUUUUCUCUAUUUUACCUAAGUUUCAAAUUUAUUAACAAAAGUUUCUUCAGAAUAUUGUCUUCUAUUUUUAUUUAGCUAUGUUUUUAUUUUAUUUCUAAUAUCGGUUAUAUGUAUCUUCUCAUUUUUCUUCUUCUUUAAAGAGCUUGUUUAAUGUCAUUAGUGUUUUCAGAGAAUCAACUUUUGUGUUUAUUGAUUUUUCACUAUUUCAACUUUAUUUUCUAUUUCAUCAAUUUCUCUUCCUAGUUUUUUUCUUAUCAUUUUCUUUCUUCUGCUUUCCCUGGUUUCAUUCAGUUGAUAUUUAUUUGUCUUUGAAUGUUGAUUUUAAUGAGAAUAAAAUUAUUGUCUGUCAAUCAUUUUUCUCAGUACUUUGUAUACAUCAUUCUACAGACAUAUGGCUUCGUAGCUGAUGUUCAGAAAUCAGCUGUUAAUCUAAGCUUUAUUUCAUUUAGAUAAUCUGAUUAGAUUGAUAUUGGAUCUUCUCAUACUAAUCUUCAUGAUUAUUAAAGUUUUAAUAUGUCUUUAAUAAAUUCUGAAUUAUCUCUCUAGCUCUAUUUCUUAACUUAAAAUUUCUUUCUGCAGUGUUGUUAAAUCUUAUCAUUAUGCCAUCUGUUGAGCAUUUAAUUUCGGUGAUCAUAUAUUUUUUAUUUCUACAUGUUCUACUUAGUUUUUUCUCAUGUUUUUUUCUUAUCUGUUUACUCCUUUUUUAUUUUAAGUACUUUAUAUAAACUUAUAUUUGGAAUGUGAACUGAAUUCAAUAUCUGUAAUUAUUAUAAAUUCUCUAGUUUCUUGUUUCUGCUGAUUCUUACUUAUUGUAACUUAUUUCCUCAUGUGCUUAGUAAUUUAUUUUUAUUGUUAUUUCAUAUUCCUUGUAAUUUGAUCUGGGGACUCAUUGAGGCCUUUAUUAAAAUGUGUUCUUCCAGAA